rnacentral:rRNA from 1 species
GCGUGAGUGAUGAAGGCCUUCGGGUUGUAAAGCUCUUUUGCCAGGGACGAUGAUGACGGUACCUGGAGAAUAAGCCCCGGCUAACUUCGUGCCAGCAGCCGCGGUAAUACGAAGGGGGCUAGCGUUGUUCGGAAUUACUGGGCGUAAAGGGCGCGUAGGCGGCGAAGUCAGUCAGGCGUGAAAAUCCCGGGCUCAACCCGGGGACUGCGUUUGAUACUGCUUUGCUUGAAUUCGGGAGAGGAUGGCGGAAUUCCCAGUGUAGAGGUGAAAUUCGU